rnacentral:rRNA from 1 species
UACGGGUGGAGCAAGCGUUGUUCGGAUUUACUGGGCGUAAAGGGCGCGUAGGCGGCCACCGCAAGUCGGUUGUGAAAUCUCUGGGCUUAACCCAGAAAGGUCAACCGAUACUGCGGGGCUAGAGUGCAGAAGGGGCAACUGGAAUUCUCGGUGUAGCGGUGAAAUGCGUAGAUAUCGAGAGGAACACCUGCGGCGAAGGCGGGUUGCUGGGCUGACACUGACGCUGAAGCGCGAAAGCUAGGGGAGCGAACGGG